UCUUCUCCAUCUUCUUACAGCUCUCUCUCUCUCUCUCUCUUUCAUCUUCUGUUCUUUUCUCUUCAUAUUUUAAGAUAUCAUUUCCUUCCUCUGUUCUUCAUUAUCUUCUCCAUCUUCUGCUCACCACUUUCUUCGCGGUUACCACUUCUGUCGCUGUCGUGGAGGAAGAACCGCUGCUGUCGCCGUCAUCUAAGAAACAAACGCUUAUGUGCUUGACGAAGCACCGACUCGUAGCAGUGGAGGCAACCGACCUUCUUCUUCUUCUUCUUCAGAUUUUAUCCAUAUCCCUCGCCGUCACGUUUUGCUCUCUGUCCAAGACUCACCGGAGAUGAAGAUCCUUUCAGAUUUUUUUUUGUCUAUACUCAUAACUCGACGGUGGUGGGAUUUGAGAGGAGCGGAUCUGGAAGGUGGAUGCGACGGCCGGAAGUAGAAGCAUCGAUGGUGGCUGAAGCGUUGAGAGUGCAGUGGACGAAGACAACUGGAGGAGGACAACAGCGGCGGCUUAGAUUUAGGGUUUUCUUGUAUUUUGUUUGUAUUUAUGUUUAUAUAUUUACGUAUUUGUUUUUAUUAAUUAUAUCAAAUUGUUUUUUUAUUUAACCGUCGGAGUAAACACAUUUUCCUUUA